ACGCUUUUACUAAAACGGGUCGAAAGUUAAACUAUUAUUCAUUACUUAUAUUAAAACUGUGUUUU